rnacentral:rRNA from 1 species
AGAGUUUGAUCCUGGCUCAGGACGAACGCUGGCGGCGCGCCUAACACAUGCAAGUCGAACGAGCGAGAGAGAGCUUGCUUUCUCAAGCGAGUGGCGAACGGGUGAGUAACGCGUGAGGAACCUGCCUCAAAGAGGGGGACAACAGUUGGAAACGACUGCUAAUACCGCAUAAGCCCACGGCUCGGCAUCGAGCAGAGGGAAAAGGAGCAAUCCGCUUUGAGAUGGCCUCGCGUCCGAUUAGCUAGUUGGUGAGGUAACGGCCCACCAAGGCGACGAUCGGUAGCCGGACUGAGAGGUUGAACGGCCACAUUGGGACUGAGACACGGCCCAGACUCCUACGGGAGGCAGCAGUGGGGAAUAUUGCACAAUGAGGGAAACCCUGAUGCAGCGACGCCGCGUGGAGGAAGAAGGUCUUCGGAUUGUAAACUCCUGUUGUUGAGGAAGAUAAUGACGGUACUCAACAAGGAAGUGACGGCUAACUACGUGCCAGCAGCCGCGGUAAAACGUAGGUCACAAGCGUUGUCCGGAAUUACUGGGUGUAAAGGGAGCGCAGGCGGGAAGACAAGUUGGAAGUGAAAUCCAUGGGCUCAACCCAUGAACUGCUUUCAAAACUGUUUUUCUUGAGUAGUGCAGAGGUAGGCGGAAUUCCCGGUGUAGCGGUGGAAUGCGUAGAUAUCGGGAGGAACACCAGUGGCGAAGGCGGCCUACUGGGCACCAACUGACGCUGAGGCUCGAAAGUGUGGGUAGCAAACAGGAUUAGAUACCCUGGUAGUCCACACUGUAAACGAUGAUUACUAGGUGUUGGAGGAUUGACCCCUUCAGUGCCGCAGUUAACACAAUAAGUAAUCCACCUGGGGAGUACGACCGCAAGGUUGAAACUCAAAGGAAUUGACGGGGGCCCGCACAAGCAGUGGAGUAUGUGGUUUAAUUCGACGCAACGCGAAGAACCUUACCAAGUCUUGACAUCCUGCGACGCACAUAGAAAUAUGUGUUUCCUUCGGGACGCAGAGACAGGUGGUGCAUGGUUGUCGUCAGCUCGUGUCGUGAGAUGUUGGGUUAAGUCCCGCAACGAGCGCAACCCUUAUGGUCAGUUACUACGCAAGAGGACUCUGGCCAGACUGCCGUUGACAAAACGGAGGAAGGUGGGGAUGACGUCAAAUCAUCAUGCCCUUUAUGACUUGGGCUACACACGUACUACAAUGGCGUUAAACAAAGAGAAGCAAGACCGCGAGGUGGAGCAAAACUCAGAAACAACGUCCCAGUUCGGACUGCAGGCUGCAACUCGCCUGCACGAAGUCGGAAUUGCUAGUAAUCGCAGAUCAGCAUGCUACGGUGAAUACGUUCCCGGGCCUUGUACACACCGCCCGUCACACCAUGAGAGCCGG